UACGAAGGUCCCAAGCGUUAUCCGGAUUUAUUGGGCUUAAAGGGUGCGUAGGCGGGCUAUUAAGUCAGUGGUGAAAGCCUCAAGCUUAACUUGAGAAUUGCCAUUGAUACUGAUGACCUUGAGUACAUUUGAAGUGGGCGGAAUGUGUCAUGUAGCGGUGAAAUGCUUAGAUAUGACACAGAACACCGAUUGCGUAGGCAGCUCACUAAGCUGUAACUGACGCUGAGGCACGAAAGCGUGGGGAGCAAACAGG
rnacentral:rRNA from 1 species